rnacentral:rRNA from 1 species
CCUACGGGAUGCAGCAGUGGGGAAUAUUGGACAAUGGGCGAAAGCCUGAUCCAGCCAUGCCGCGUGUGUGAAGAAGGCCUUCGGGUUGUAAAGCACUUUCAGUGGGGAAGAAAGCCUUGGGUCUAAUACCCUCGAGGAAGGACAUCACCCACAGAAGAAGCACGGGCUAACUCCGUGCCAGCAGCCGCGGUAAUACGGAGGGUGCGAGCGUUAAUCGGAAUUACUGGGCGUAAAGCGCGCGUAGGCGGUCUGAUAAGCCGGUUGUGAAAGCCCCGGGCUCAACCUGGGAACGGCAUCCGGAACUGUCAGGCUAGAGUGCAGGAGAGGAAGGUAGAAUUCCCGGUGUAGCGGUGAAAUGCGUAGAGAUCGGGAGGAAUACCAGUGGCGAAGGCGGCCUUCUGGACUGACACUGACGCUGAGGUGCGAAAGCGUGGGUAGCAAACAGGAUUAGAUACCCCAGUAGUC